ACAAGUAGGCCACUGAUGCUGAUUUUAAUCAACAGUGCGACCGCCGGGGUGAUGCCAACACAGCUGAAGUCAUAGUAGAUAAAAGUCAGAUCCGCAUUCGGUUUGUUGCUCUCGCUUUGUUUCCAGACGGAUCACGAUCGAGAUGUGAGAUGUGCGCGGCUCCUCCUCCAGCACCGGAUCUAUCAGCCUAUCUUCUACUGUACGGAGAGCGGAU